CCUACGGGUGACAGCAGUGAGGAAUAUUGGUCAAUGGGCGCUAGCCUGAACCAGCAAAGUAGCGUGAAGGAUGACUGCCCUAUGGGUUGUAAACUUCUUUUGCCGGGGAACAAAGGCGGAGACGCGUCUCCGGAUGAGCGUACCCGAAGAAAAAGCAUCGGCAAACUCCGUGCCAGCAUCUGCGGUAAUAUGGAGGAUGCGAGCGUUAGCCGGAUUUGUUGGGUUAAAGGGGAGCCCAGGGGGGAGAGCAUGUCGGCGGGAAAAUGUCGGGGCUAAACCCCGGCCGGCCGUUGAAACGGGUUUUCUAGAGUUGGAGAGAGGUAUGCGGAAUUCGUGGUGUAGCGGUGAAAUGCAUAGAUAUCACGAGGAACUCCGAUGGCGAAGGCAGCAUACCGGCUCCAUACUGACGCUGAGGCACGAAAGCGUGGGGAGCGAACAGGAUUAGAUACCCGGGUAGUC
rnacentral:rRNA from 1 species